rfam:Bacillus cereus ATCC 14579, complete genome.
GAAAAAGCAAUGAAAGAGAAGAGUACAUAUUCGAAACUUUUCAGAGAGCUGAUAUGUGGUGGAAAUCAGUAAGGGAUGAAUAUGGAAUGGACUCUGGAGCUUCUAACUGAAAUGAGUAGGUAAAGACGGUUACUUCACGUUAUUGAAGUAUGAAGUGAGCUAAUGAUAGCUAAUUAAGGUGGUACCGCGGGAGUCUCUCGUCCUUUUU